rnacentral:tRNA from 1 species
UCCCAGGUGGCUCAGUGAUAAAGAAUCUGUCUGCAAUGCAGGAGACCUGGGUUUGAUCCCUGGAUUGGGAA